UACGUAGGGUGCGAGCGUUAAUCGGAAUUACUGGGCGUAAAGCGUGCGCAGGCGGCUUUGCAAGACAGAUGUGAAAUCCCCGGGCUCAACCUGGGAACUGCAUUUGUGACUGCAAGGCUAGAGUACGGGAGAGGGGGAUGGAAUUCCGCGUGUAGCAGUGAAAUGCGUAGAUAUGCGGAGGAACACCAAUGGCGAAGGCAAUCCCCUGGGCCUGUACUGAC
rnacentral:rRNA from 1 species